UACGUAGGGACCGAGCGUUGUCCGGAAUUAUUGGGCGUAAAGAGCUUGUAGGCGGUUUGUCGCGUCUGCCGUGAAAAUUCGAGGCUCAACCUCGAACUUGCGGUGGGUACGGGCAGACUAGAGUGUGGUAGGGGAGACUGGAAUUCCUGGUGUAGCGGUGAAAUGCGCAGAUAUCAGGAGGAACACCGAUGGCGAAGGCAGGUCUCUGGGCAUUAACUGACGCUGAGGAGCGAAAGCAUGGGGAGCGAACAGG
rnacentral:rRNA from 1 species